GAUAAACGCUGGCGGCGUGCUUAACACAUGCAAGUCGAACGAAGUUUUUCUUUCGGGAGGAACUUAGUGGCGGACGGGUGAGUAACGCGUGGGUAACCUGCCCUGGACAGGGGGACAACAGCUGGAAACGGCGGCUAAUACCGCAUAAGCCCUUAGCACUGCAUGGUGCAUAGGGAAAAGGAGCAAUCCGGUACAGGAUGGACCCGCGUCUGAUUAGCCAGUUGGCAGGGUAACGGCCUACCAAAGCGACGAUCAGUAGCCGAUCUGAGAGGAUGUACGGACACAUUGGGACUGAGACACGGCCCAGACUACUACGGGAGGCAGGAGUGGGGAAUAUUGCACAAUGGAGGAAACUAUGAUGCAGCGACGACGCGUGAGUGAAGAAGUAUUUCGGUAUGUAAAGCUAUAUCAGCAGGAGAGAAAAUGACGGUACCUGACGAAGAAGCACCGGCUAAAUACGUG
rnacentral:rRNA from 1 species